rnacentral:rRNA from 1 species
GCUGGAAGGUUAAUUGAUGGGGUUAUCCGUAAGGAGAAGCUCUUGAUCGAAGCCCCAGUAAACGGCGGCCGUAACUAUAACGGUCCUAAGGUAGCGAAAUUCCUUGUCGGGUAAGUUCCGACCUGCACGAAUGGCGUAAUGAUGGCCAGGCUGUCUCCACCCGAGACUCAGUGAAAUUGAACUCGCUGUGAAGAUGCAGUGUACCCGCGGCAAGACGGAAAGACCCCGUGAACCUUUACUAUAGCUUGACACUGAACAUUGAGCCUUGAUGUGUAGGAUAGGUGGGAGGCUUCGAAGYGUGGACGCCAGUCUGCRUGGAGCCAACCUUGAAAUACCACCCUUUAAUGUUUGAUGUUCUAACGUUGCCCCRUUAUCYGGGGUGCGGACAGUGUCUGGUGGGUAGUUUGACUGGGGCGGUCUCCUCCCAAAGAGUAACGGAGGAGCACGAAGGUUGGCUAAGCAUGGUCGGACAUCAUGCGGUUAGUGCAAAGGCAUAAGCCAGCUUGACUGCGAGAGUGACGGCUCGAGCAGGUACGAAAGUAGGUCUUAGUGAUCCGGUGGUUCUGAAUGGAAGGGCCAUCGCUCAACGGAUAAAAGGUACUCCGGG